rnacentral:rRNA from 1 species
UACAGAGGGGGCCAGCGUUAUUCGGAAUUAUUGGGCGUAAAGGGCGCGUAGGCGGCCAUGCGUGUCUCCCGUGAAAUCCCUCGGCUCAACCGAGGACGUGCGGAAGAAACUGCAAGGCUCGAGUCCGGAAGAGGGGGGCGGAAUUCCCAGUGUAGCGGUGAAAUGCGUAGAUAUUGGGAGGAACACCAGUGGCGAAGGCGGUCCCCUGGGCCGGAACUGACGCUGAGGCGCGAAAGCUAGGGUAGCAAACGGG